rnacentral:rRNA from 1 species
GACGAACGCUGGCGGCGUGCCUAAUACAUGCAAGUAGAACGCUGAGGGAGGAGCUUGCUUCUCUGGAUGAGUUGCGAACGGGUGAGUAACGCGUAGGUAACCUGCCUGUUAGCGGGGGAUAACUCUUGGAAACGAUAGCUAAUACCGCAUAAUAGUAGAUGUUGCAUGACAUUUGCUUAAAAGGUGCAAUUGCAUCACUACCAGAUGGACCUGCGUUGUAUUAGCUAGUUGGUGAGGUAACGGCUCACCAAGGCAACGAUACAUAGCCGACCUGGGAGGGUGAUCGGCCAAACUGGGACUGAGACAAGGGCCAGACUCCUACGGGAGGCAGCAGGAGGGGAACUUCGGCAAUGGGCGGAAGUCUGACCGAGCAACGCCGCGGGGGUGGAGGAGGGUUUCGGAUCGGAAAGCUCUGUUGUAAGGGAAGAACGAGUGUGGGAGUGGAAAGUUCACACUGUGACGGUAUCUUACCAGAAAGGGACGGCUAACUACGUG